rnacentral:rRNA from 1 species
GGCUACCUUGUUACGACUUCACCCCAGUUACUGGCUCCACCUUCGGCAGCUCCCUCCUUUUCAGGUUGGGUCACUGACUUCGGGCAUUUCCAACUCCCAUGGUGUGACGGGCGGUGUGUACAAGACCCGGGAACGUAUUCACCGCAGCGUUCUGAUCUGCGAUUACUAGCGAUUCCAGCUUCAUGUAGGCGAGUUGCAGCCUACAAUCCGAACUGAGACGGUAUUUCUGAGUUUUGCUUCGCCUCACGGCUUCGCUUCCCUUUGUUUCCGCCAUUGUAGCACGUGUGUAGCCCAAAUCAUAAGGGGCAUGAUGAUUUGACGUCGUCCCUGCCUUCCUCCAAGUUAUCCUUGGCAGUCUAUCUAGAGUUCCCAGCUUUACCUGCUGGCUACUAAAUAUAAGGGUUGCGCUCGUUGCGGGACUUAACCCAACAUCUCACGACACGAGCUGACGACAACCAUGCACCACCUGUCUCCGAUGCCUCGAAAGGCUAGUAGAUUUCCCUACUAUUCAUCGGGAUGUCAAGACUUGGUAAGGUUCUUCGCGUUGCUUCGAAUUANACCACAUGCUCCACCGCUUGUGCGGGUCCCCGUCAAUUCCUUUGAGUUUCAUUCUUGCGAACGUACUCCC